rnacentral:rRNA from 1 species
UGGCAGACGGGUGAGUAACACGUGGGAACAUACCCUUCGGUUCGGAAUAACUCAGGGAAACUUGAGCUAAUACCGGAUACGUUCGCGAGAAGAAAGAUUCAUCGCCGAAGGAUUGGCCCGCGUCUGAUUAGCUAGUUGGUGAGGUAACGGCUCACCAAGGCGACGAUCAGUAGCUGGUCUGAGAGGAUGAUCAGCCACAUUGGGACUGAGACACGGCCCAA